rnacentral:rRNA from 1 species
GACGAACGCUGGCGGCGUGCUUAACACAUGCAAGUCGAACGGAAAGGCCCUGCUUUUGUGGGGUGCUCGAGUGGCGAACGGGUGAGUAACACGUGAGUAACCUGCCCUUGACUUUGGGAUAACUUCAGGAAACUGGGGCUAAUACCGGAUAGGAGCUCCUGCUGCAUGGUGGGGGUUGGAAAGUUUCGGCGGUUGGGGAUGGACUCGCGGCUUAUCAGUUUGUUGGUGGGGUAGUGGCUUACCAAGGGUUGGGCGGGUAGCCGGCCUGAGAGGGUGACCGGCCACAUUGGGACUGAGAUACGGCCCAGACUCCUACGGGAGGCAGCAGUGGGGAAUAUUGCACAAUGGGCGGAAGCCGGAUGCAGCAACGCCGCGUGCGGGAUGACGGCCUUCGGGUUGUGAACCGCUGUCGCCUGUGACGAAGCGGGAGUGACGGUAAUGGGUAAAGAAGCACCGGCUAACUACGUG